rnacentral:rRNA from 2 species
UGCAAGUCGAACGAUGAAGCCCUUCGGGGUGGAUUAGUGGCGAACGGGUGAGUAACACGUGGGCAAUCUGCCCUUCACUCUGGGACAAGCCCUGGAAACGGGGUCUAAUACCGGAUAACACUCCCUCCCGCAUGGGUGGGGGUUAAAAGCUCCGGCGGUGAAGGAUGAGCCCGCGGCCUAUCAGCUUGUUGGUGAGGUAGUGGCUCACCAAGGCGACGACGGGUAGCCGGCCUGAGAGGGCGACCGGCCACACUGGGACUGAGACACGGCCCAGACUCCUACGGGAGGCAGCAGUGGGGAAUAUUGCACAAUGGGCGAAAGCCUGAUGCAGCGACGCCGCGUGAGGGAUGACGGCCUUCGGGUUGUAAACCUCUUUCAGCAGGGAAGAAGCGAAAGUGACGGUACCUGCAGAAGAAGCGCCGGCUAACUACGUGCCAGCAGCCGCGGUAAUACGUAGGGCGCAAGCGUUGUCCGGAAUUAUUGGGCGUAAAGAGCUCGUAGGCGGCUUGUCGCGUCGGUUGUGAAAGCCCGGGGCUUAACCCCGGGUCUGCAGUCGAUACGGGCAGGCUAGAGUGUGGUAGGGGAGAUCGGAAUUCCUGGUGUAGCGGUGAAAUGCGCAGAUAUCAGGAGGAACACCGGUGGCGAAGGCGGAUCUCUGGGCCAUUACUGACGCUGAGGAGCGAAAGCGUGGGGAGCGAACAGGAUUAGAUACCCUGGUAGUCCACGCCG